GCGCGGUUGGCGUAGUGGUCAACGCGUUCGCUCCUGAUGCUGUCCGCACUACCUCCAUGGGCAGUGGACGGGGAAUGGUCAUACUAAGGCGUACUCCCCAGUUCCAAGGAUCGGCGAAAGAUCCCGGGUUCGAAUCCCGGACCGCGCA